rnacentral:rRNA from 1 species
AACGAACGCUGGCGGCAGGCUUAACACAUGCAAGUCGAGCGCCCCGCAAGGGGAGCGGCAGACGGGUGAGUAACACGUGGGAAUCUACCCAGCUCUACGGAAUAACUCAGGGUAACUUGAGCUAAUACCGUAUACGUCCUUUUGGAGAAAGAUUUAUCGGAGUUGGAUGAGCCCGCGUCGGAUUAGCUAGUUGGUGAGGUAAUGGCUCACCAAGGCGACGAUCCGUAGCUGGUCUGAGAGGAUGAUCAGCCACACUGGGACUGAGACACGGCCCAG